UGCCGGGUCAAAACAUGUUAGAUUCGGGCGGUAGCACAGCAGGAGCUUGGUCUCGGGUGACGAGUGGCGGACGGGUGAGUAAUGUCUGGGAAACUGCCUGAUGGAGGGGGAUAACUACUGGAAACGGUAGCUAAUACCGCAUAACGUCGCAAGACCAAAGAGGGGGACCUUCGGGCCUCUUGCCAUCAGAUGUGCCCAGAUGGGAUUAGCUAGUAGGUGGGGUAACGGCUCACCUAGGCGACGAUCCCUAGCUGGUCUGAGAGGAUGACCAGCCACACUGGAACUGAGACACGGUCCAGACUCCUACGGGAGGCAGCAGUGGGGAAUAUUGCACAAUGGGCGCAAGCCUGAUGCAGCCAUGCCGCGUGUAUGAAGAAGGCCUUCGGGUUGUAAAGUACUUUCAGCGGGGAGGAAGGCGUUGUGGUUAAUAACCACAGCGAUUGACGUUACCCGCAGAAGAAGCACCGGCUAACUCCGUGCCAGCAGCCGCGGUAAUACGGAGGGUGCAAGCGUUAAUCGGAAUUACUGGGCGUAAAGCGCACGCAGGCGGUCUGUCAAGUCGGAUGUGAAAUCCCCGGGCUCAACCUGGGAACUGCAUUCGAAACUGGCAGGCUAGAGUCUUGUAGAGGGGGGUAGAAUUCCAGGUGUAGCGGUGAAAUGCGUAGAGAUCUGGAGGAAUACCGGUGGCGAAGGCGGCCCCCUGGACAAAGACUGACGCUCAGGUGCGAAAGCGUGGGGAGCAAACAGGAUUAGAUACCCUGGUAGUCCACGCCGUAAACGAUGUCGACUUGGAAGGUGUGGCCCUUGAGGCGUGGCUUCCCGGAGCUAACUCGUUAAGUCCGACCCGCCUGUGGGAGUACGGCCGCAAGGUAAAAACUCAARAUGAAUUGGACGGGGGGCCCGCACAAAGCGGUGGAGCAUGUGGUUUAAUUCGAUGCAACGCGAAGAACCUUACCUACUCUUGACAUCCAGAGAACUUACAGAGAUGCUUUGUGCUUCGGGAACUCUGAGACAGGUGCUGCAUGGCUGUCGUCAGCUCGUGUGUGAAUGGUGGGUAGGUCCCGCAACGAGCGCACCUAUCAUUGUGCAGCGGCUCAGCGGGACUCAAGAAACUGCAGUGAUAACUGAGAAAGGUGGGAUGACGUCAGUCUCUAUGGGCCCUCUACCAGGAGUAGGGCUACACACGUGCUACAAUGGCGCAUACAAAGAGAAGCGACCUCGCGAGAGCAAGCGGACCUCAUAAAGUGCGUCGUAGUCCGGAUUGGAGUCUGCAACUCGACUCCAUGAAGUCGGAAUCGCUAGUAAUCGUAGAUCAGAAUGCUACGGUGAAUACGUUCCCGGGCCUUGUACACACCGCCCGUCACACCAUGGGAGUGGGUUGCUAAAAGAAGUAGGUAGCUUAACCUUCGGGAGCGCGCAAUCUAUCGA
rnacentral:rRNA from 1 species